rnacentral:rRNA from 1 species
GUAGGUGGCAAGCGUUGUCCGGAAUUAUUGGGCGUAAAGCGCGCGCAGGCGGUCCUUUAAGUCUGAUGUGAAAGCCCACGGCUCAACCGUGGAGGGUCAUUGGAAACUGGGGGACUUGAGUACAGAAGAGGAAAGCGGAAUUCCAAGUGUAGCGGUGAAAUGCGUAGAGAUUUGGAGGAACACCAGUGGCGAAGGCGGCUUUCUGGUCUGUAACUGACGCUGAGGCGCGAAAGCGUGGGGAGCAAACAGGAUUAGAUACCCUGGUAGUCCACGCCGUAAACGAUGAGUGCUAAGUGUUAGGGGGUUUCCGCCCCUUAGUGCUGCAGCUAACGCAUUAAGCACUCCGCCUGGGGAGUACGGCCGCAAAGGCUG